CCUACGGGCGGCUGCAGUGGGGAAUAUUGGGCAAUGUGCGCAAGCCUGACCCAGCAACGCCGCGUGAAGGAAGACGGCCUUCGGGUUGUAAACUUCUUUUGUCAGGGAAGAGUAGAAGACGGUACCUGACGAAUAAGCCACGGCUAACUACGUGCCAGCAGCCGCGGUAAUACGUAGGUGGCAAGCGCUGUCCGGAUUUACUGGGUGUAAAGGGCGUGUAGCCGUGUUGGCAAGUCAGAUGUGAAAUCCUGAGGCUUAACCGCAGAACUGCAUUUGACAUUGUUGAUCUUGAGUACUGGAGAGGCAGGCGGAAUUCCUGGUGUAGCGGUGAAAUGCGUAGAGAUUAGGAAGAACACCGGUGGCGAAGGCGGCUUACUGGACAGUAACUGACGUUGAGGCUCGAAAGCGUGGGGAGCAAACAGGAUUAGAUACCCUUGUAGUC
rnacentral:rRNA from 1 species